AGAGUUUGAUCCUGGCUCAGAACGAACGCUGCCGUCAGGCUUAACACAUGCAAGUCGAACGCACCGCAAGGUGAGUGGCAGACGGGUGAGUAACGCGUGGGAACCUUCCCUUUGGUACGGAAUAACUUCGGGAAACCGAAGCUAAUACCGUAUAAGUCCUUCGGGAGAAAGAUUUAUCGCCAAAGGAUGGGCCCGCGUUGGAUUAGCUAGUUGGUAGGGUAAAGGCCUACCAAGGCUACGAUCCAUAGCUGGUCUGAGAGGAUGAUCAGCCACACUGGGACUGAGACACGGCCCAGACUCCUACGGGAGGCAGCAGUGGGGAAUAUUGGACAAUGGGGGCAACCCUGAUCCAGCCAUGCCGCGUGAGUGAAGAAGGCCUUAGGGUUGUAAGGCUCUUUUGGCGGGGACGAUAAUGACGGUACCCGCAGAAUAAGCCCCGGCUAACUUCGUGCCAGCAGCCGCGGUAAUACGAAGGGGGCUAGCGUUGUUCGGAAUCACUGGGCGUAAAGCGCACGCAGGCGGAUUGAUAAGUCAGGGGUGAAAUCCCGGAGCUCAACUUCGGAAUUGCCUUUGAUACUGUCUGUCUUCGAGUUCGGGAGAGGUUGGCGGAAUUCCUAGUGUAGAGGUGAAAUUCGUAGAUAUUAGGAAGAACACCAGUGGCGAAGGCGGCCAACUGGCCCGAUACUGACGCUCAUGUGCGAAAGCGUGGGGAGCAAACAGGAUUAGAUACCCUG
rnacentral:rRNA from 1 species